AAAUACCAAAUAGUUCUCCAGUAAAUACCGAAGACUCUGGAGGGAGUUUAAUUUUUUCUACAACAUUAUACUGGUGAUGAAAUACACCAACCCCAACACAACUAUUUGUAGAAAGUUUUGAUGCAUCUGUGUAUAUGUGAUGCCAACCAGACCAAUUUUCGCCCACUAAGUUGUUAAAUACAGGUUUUGCACUUAUUAUAUGCUUAAUAAUAUUGGAGUCUAGAAUAACUUGUGGAGAGAUAGUCAAAGAGUCAAAGUCUUUCUCGUAUAUAGGAAGGGAAAUAUAUCUGACAGUAGGAGAAGACAGAGACUUAAAUUUAAGGUAGCUAUUAAUUAUACAAGGAGGAGUUCUAUUACGCCAAUAUGGAGAUGUCUGUAUGUGAUCAUAAAGAGUCAAUAAUUUUGUGAUCAGAGGAUGUGAUGAAAAUUGCAUAGUCCUAAAAAUGAAUCUGUCAGAUAAAAAUUGACGUCUUAAAUGCGUAGGUGGGUCAACACACUCCACUUGCAUAGCAUUAGCAGGACUGGUUCGCAUAGCACCAAGGAUUGUCCUAAGUGACUUAUUCUGUAUGACAUUGAAUGCUUUAAAGGCUUCUUCUGUACCCGGUGUUAAAAGAAAAGAACCGUAAUCAACAACGCUUCUUAUAACUGAAUUAUAAAUAAGCUUCAAAUAGAAAGGAUGACUACCCCACCAUACACCAGCUAAGCAUCUCAAUAUGUUUAAUGAGCGUUCGCAUCUACCUUUAACAUAAUUGGAAUGACCCUUGGUGGACAAAUUGUAGUCUAAAACAAUUCCUAAGUAUUUAACUUCUUCGCAAAAGGAGAUUGCAGAUCCACCAUAAGAUAAAUUUUCAUGAACAGUUUUUUUUCUUGGAGAAAAUAGAAUCGCCGAGGUUUUCGGAACUGAAAGGUCUAACCCAUUAUUAUUUAAAAAUACAUUUAGUUCCUUUAAACUAGCAUUUAUAUGCUCGCAGGCCUUCUGUACUGAUCUAUUUCUAGAGUAAAGAACUAUGUCAUCGGCGUAUUGUAUAAUAGAUAUAUAAUCUGGCAAAUUAGAACUAAGGUCGUAUGUAUAUACAUUAAAAAGUAAGGGGCUUAACACAGAGCCCUGUGGUAGUCCUUUCCAAACUGUCCUGUAUAAUACUUUAUCAUCUAAAUCUAACUUGAUCGACCGUUCAUAAAACAUAGCAGCAAUAAUAUUGCAUAAGCGUUCAGGCACUCCCAAGAGGAACAAUUUAUUUACAAGAAUUGAUAUAUUUACAUUAUCGUAGGCAGAAUUGAUAUCUAUAAAACAAGCUACUACAUAUUCGCGUUUUGAAAAGGCUAAAAGAAUAUCAGAAACUAAUAAACUAACACAGUCUAAUGUGCUUCUACUUUUGCGAAAACCAUAUUGAAUAUCAGGUAAUAAUUUCUUACUUUCAAUAAACCACUCCAACCUAUUUUUAACUAAAUGUUCUAAAAUCUUAAUUAAAACGGAAGAUAACGCAAUUGGACGAUAAGAGUUUGGAUCAUUACGGGGUUUAUUCGGUUUGAGAAAGGGUAACACUAACUGUAUUUUCCAAUUUGGUGGAAUGUCGCCUGUCAAAAAUAUUGAGUUGAUAAUAUUAAGAAAGUAACCUAAAAUAUUGUCACUAGAAUGGGUCAAAAAGGAAUAUGGAAUACCGUCGCAUCCUGGUGCAGAAUCCUUCACAUAAGAUAGCACAUUCUUUAGUUCCGACAAUGAGAACGGACUGUUAAAACGCUGCAAGUUAUCGUUAUCAGUAUUAGACGAGGGAGACUGUUCCAGACACACGGGAAAUGGGGCAAAUGGAGGAGCUAGUCUAUCUAAAAAAAAUUCAGCUACUGCAUGAUCAAGUUUGAUGCCACUAUUUUCUACAAAAGCUCCUCUAAACAUUCUAACUUUCCUCCAAACUUCUGACGGCUUCUGAACAUUCGGAAUCCCACCAUGGGGGACUGGGAAUGUUAAAUUUAGAGGGCUUCUUACGUGGAAAUACUUCAUCAGCUACAUUAAUUAUAAAUUUAGCAAAAGCAUCAGAAGAUUUGAACAAAUGUUGCCGAGAUACAUUGGGCAAUUCUCCCAACCUCUCAUCCAUAUGUUUGCGAAACUUAUCCCAAUCUGCAUUUUGAAGUUUAUAUGCCAACAGUGGAGAUCUUUUAAGUAAUGGUUUGUUUUUGAAAGGAAAAGAUAUGACAAUUGGAAAAUGAUCACUACCAUAGGAGAGUGGAAGUACCUCCCACAGUAAAGAGUGUGCAAUGGAAGAGCUACAAAUGGAUAAAUCUAAGGCACUAGGAUUCUCAUUGGGAGCAGACCGACGAGUAGGAACACCAGUAUUCAAUAUGCAUAAAUUAUAAUAAUCA